rnacentral:rRNA from 1 species
CCUACGGGUGGCAGCAGUGAGGAAUAUUGGUCAAUGGGGGCAACCCUGACCCAGCCAUGCCGCGUGAGUGAAGAAGGUCUUCGGAUUGUAAAGCUCUAUCAGCAGGGAAGAAAAUGACGGUACCUGAGUAAGAAGCCCCGGCUAACUACGUGCCAGCAGCAGCGGUAAUACGUAGGGGGCAAGCGUUAUCCGGAUUUACUGGGUGUAAAGGGAGCGUAGACGGCAGUGCAAGUCUGGAGUGAAAGGCGGGGGCUCAACCCCCGGACUGCUCUGGAAACUGUAUGGCUGGAGUGCAGGAGAGGUAAGUGGAAUUCCUAGUGUAGCGGUGAAAUGCGUAGAUAUUAGGAGGAACACCAGUGGCGAAGGCGGCUUACUGGACUGUAACUGACGUUGAGGCUCGAAAGCGUGGGGAGCAAACAGGAUUAGAUACCCGAGUAGUC